UGGGGAAUAUUGGACAAUGGGGGCAACCCUGAUCCAGCGAUGCCGCGUGUGUGAAGAAGGCCUUCGGGUUGUAAAGCACUUUAGGUUGGGAAGAAGGGUACGGAUUGAAUAGAUUCGUAUUUUGACGGUACCGACAGAAUAAGCACCGGCUAACUCUGUGCCAGCAGCCGCGGUAAUACAGAGGGUGCGAGCGUUAAUCGGAGUUACUGGGCGUAAAGGGCGCGUAGGCGGUUAUAUAAGUGAGGUGUGAAAUCCCCGGGCUUAACCUGGGAACAGCACUUUAGACUGUAUGACUAGAGAGCAGUAGAGGGUGGUGGAAUUUCCGGUGUAGCGGUGAAAUGCGUAGAGAUCGGAAGGAACAUCAGUGGCGAAGGCGACCACCUGGACUGGAACUGACGCUGAGGCGCGAGAGCGUGGGGAGCAAACAGGAUUAGAUACCCCCGUAGUCC
rnacentral:rRNA from 1 species